rnacentral:piRNA from 1 species
CAGCCAAAAACUCUCAUGCUUGUGUCA